UCCCAGUUCGGAUUGUAGUCUGCAACCCGACUACAUGAAGCUGGAAUCGCUAGUAAUCGCGGAUCAGAAUGCCGCGGUGAAUACGUUCCCGGGUCUUGUACACACCGCCCGUCACACCAUGGGAGUCGGAAAUGCCCGAAGUCUGUGACCCAACCUUAGGGAGGGAGCAGCCGAAGGCAGGUCGGAUGACUGGGGUGAAGUCGUAACAAGGUAUC
rnacentral:rRNA from 1 species